rnacentral:piRNA from 1 species
UGAUUUUUUAAGGUUUUGACC